rnacentral:rRNA from 1 species
UACGUAGGCAGCAAGCGUUGUUCGGAGUUACUGGGCGUAAAGGGUGUGUAGGCGGUCUUCUAAGUUUGGUGUGAAAUCUCCCGGCUUAACUGGGAGGGUGCGCCGAAGACUGGUAGGCUUGAGUAUGGGAGAGGUAAGCGGAAUUCCUGGUGUAGCGGUGAAAUGCGUAGAUAUCAGGAGGAACACCUGCGGUGUAGACGGCUUACUGGACCAUCACUGACGCUGAGGCACGAAAGCGUGGGUAGCAAACAGG